rnacentral:sRNA from 1 species
UGAACCCUCUGCUAGAUCAUUCUCUUCUGUAGAGCCUGUCCAUCUUCCCUUUAUCAGUAGUAAGCUGCCCAGCCUCUGUCAACUUUGCAGGUGAUUUUGCUUAGUUCUGUCUCAUCACAUUCACUUGCUGAAGUGCAUAGACUUCCUGCCUCUUGCUGGACCUCUACUUUUGCUUGUGGGCAGCCUCAUUGAAGGCAGUUGCUACGGCUGACCUGGAAAGACCCUGCCAUGAAGAUAGGUGCAGGCAGAGAAGUCUGGAUGGGAACUAAGUCUAGCGGACUGAGAAAUUGCCCAUGGGCUCCAUAAAAAAUGUGGUCAGUGAACCUAUCGAAGGACAUGAAGACUACCACAUGAUGGCGUUUCAGUUGGGCCCCACGGAAGCCUCUUACUACUGGGUGUACUGGGUUCCAACUCAAUAUGUGGAUGCAAUCAAAGACACUGUGCUGGGGAAAUGGCAGUAUUUUUGAAAGCACUUUCACCUCUGGCCCAGGAGACUGACCCAAAGUGAAGGACAUUGCCGGGAGAGGCCUGCAGCAUCCCUGGAUUUCAGAGUUCUGGAACUUUGUUCAUAAAAAAUCUAUAUUCAA